GGAGUCAAAGGCACUGUACUAUUUUAUUAUUGUAACUUAAUUUAGUUCAGAUAGGUAUAUUUAAAAAAAAAAAAAAAAAAAAGCCUUCACAAUGUAUAAUUUCUAAGGUCUUGUUAUUGAUAAUGUAGAUCAAUAUGCAGUAUUUAUGUAAAAGCAACAUUUUACGCCAAGGGAAUUGCUACUAAGACAUGUCUAUAAAUGCAAAAAAAAUUACAUUUAUGGAAAGCAAGCAGCAUUCAUUUUAAAUCAGCUGUGUCGUAUAUUACAUGACUUUAAUUUUAUAGG